rnacentral:lncRNA from 1 species
CGACAUUCAUAUAAGAAUUUAAAAGGAGGCUCAGAUUCGCCUUUUUUAAGCAGAAGAUUGAACAUCCCAAACCAGCUAAAAAUGAGAAGCUCGCGAGCCAUCUAAUCAAAGUAAACAAAAACCGACCUUGAUUUAAGCAUAUAAAGCAUAUAAAAGGACAAAAGGAUUCCCUUUUUUCAUGCAGCAGAUUGAACAUGACAAAGGAACUCAAAAUUAGAAGCCCACAAGUUACCCACCUUGAUUUAAUCAUGUAAAAGGAGACUCAGAUUCCCCUUGUUCAAGCAGAAGAUUGAACAUCACAAAAGAGCUAAAAAAGAGAAGCUCCACGUCACCCACCUUGAUUUAAGCAAGUAAAAGGAGUCUCAGAUUUGCCUUUUUAAAGCAGAAGAUUGAAUAUCACAGAAGAGCUCAAAAUCAGAAGCUCGUGAGUCUUUUUCAAGCAGAAGAUUGAAUAUCACAAAAGAGCUCAAAGUCAAAACCUCGUGAGUCUUUUUCAAGCAAAAGAUUGAACAUCACAAAAGAGCUCAAAAUCAGAACCUCAAGAGUCAUCCACCCAAAGUAAACUAAUGCCAAUCUUGAUUUUAGCAUAUAAAAGGAGGCUCAGAAUCGCCUUUUUCAAGCAGAAGAUUGAACAUCACAAAACAGAUCAAAAUUAGAAGCCCACGAGUCACACACCCAAAGUUCACCAUACAGCCACUCACACACACAAGAAAGAAAGCAAAUAUAUUGGUAUAAAGGCUGAUGUCAGCAUGAGAAUCAAGGAUCAAAAUUAUGCCGAGCUUUGUUCACAUACCGACAACAUUCACCGAAUGUAAAACAAAAGCCGACAUUGAUUUAAGCAUAUAAAAGGAGCCUCAGAUUAUCCCUUUUAAAGCAGAAGAUUGAAAAUCACAAAAUAGCUUAAAAUCAGAAGCUCACGAGUCACCCACUCAAAGUAAACAACAGUCGACCUUCAUUUAACCAUAUAAAAGGAGGCCCAGAUUCCCUUUUUCAAGCAGAAGUUUGAACAUCACAAAAGAGCUCAAAAUUAGAAGCUCAAAAGUCACCCACCUCGAUUUAAGCAUGUAAAAGGAGUCUCAUAUUUGCCUUUUUCAAGCAGAAGAUUGAAUAUCACAAAAGAGCUCAAAAUCAGAGCUUCAUGAGUCUUUUUCAAGCAGAAGAUUGAAUAUCAAAUCAAAGCUCAUGAGUCUUUUUCACGCAGAAGUUUGAAUAUCACAAAAGUGCUCAAAAUAAGAACCUCACGAGUCAUCCACCCAAAGUAAACUAAAGCCGACCUUGAUUUUAGCAUAUAAAACGAGGCUCAGAUUCGCCUUUUUCAAGCAGAAAAUUGAACAUCACGAAACAGCUCAAAAUUAGAAGCUUACGGGUCACACACCCAAAGUUCACCAGACAGCCACUCACACACAAGAAAGAAAGCAAAUAUAUUGGUAUAAGGGCUGUUGUCAGCAUGAGACACAAGAAUCAAAAUUAUGCAAAGCUUUGUUCACAUAGCAGCAACAUUCACCGAAUUUAAAACUAAAGCCGACAUUGAUUUAAGCAUAUAAAAGGGGAAUAUAAAAGGAGGCUCAGAUUCGCCUUUUUAAAGCAGAAGAUUGAACAUCACAAACCAGCUAAAAAUCAGAAGCUCGCGAGUCAUCUAAUCAAAGUAAACAAAAACCGACCUUGAUUUAAGCAUAUAAAGCAUAUAAAAGGAGGCUCAGAUUCCCUUUUUUCAUGCAGAAGAUUGAACAUCACAAAGGAGCUCAAAAUUAGAAGCCCACGAGUCACCCACCUUGAUUUAAUCAUGUAAAAUGAGACACAGAUUCCCCUUGUUCAAGCAGAAGAUUGAACAUCACAAAAGAGCAAAUAUACUGGUAUAAGGGCUGUUGCCAGCAUGAGAAACAAGAAUCAAAAUUAUGCAAAGCUUUGUUCACAUAGCAACAAACUAAAGCUGACAUUGAUUUAAGCAUAUAAAAGGAGCCUCACAGUAUCCCUUUUAAAGCAGAAGAUUGAAUAUCACAAAAUAGCUUAAAAUCAGAGGCUCACGAGUCACCCACUCAAAGUAAACAGCAGCCGACCUUGAUUUAAGCAUAUAAAAGGAGGCUCAGGUUACCUUUUUCAAGCAGAAGAUUGAACAUCACAAAAGAGCUCAAAAUUAGAAGAUCUUGAGUCACCCACCUUGAUUUAAGCAUGUAAAACGAGUCUCAGAUUUGCCCUUUUCAAGCAGAGGAUUGAAUAUCAGAAAAGGGCUCAAAAUCAGAAGCUCAUGAGUCUCUUUCAAGCAGAAGAUUGAAUAUCACAAAAGAGCUCAAAAUCAGACACUCAUGAGUCUUUUUCACGCAGAAGAUUGAAUAUCACAAAAGAGCUCAAAAUCAGAACCUCACGAGUCAUCCACCCCAAGUAAACUAAAGCCUACUUUGAUUUUACCAUAUAAAAGGAGGCUUAGAUUUGCCUUUUUCAAGCAGAAGAUUGAACAUCACAAAACAGCUCAAAAUUAGAAGCUCACAAGUCACACACCCACAGUUUGCCAGACAGCCACGCACACACACAAGAAAAAAAGCAAAUAUACUGGUAUAAGGGCUGUUGCCAGCAUGAGAAAGAAGAAUCAAAAUUAUGCAAUGCUUUGUUCACAUAGGAACAACAUUCACCAAAUUUAAAACUAAAGCCGACAUUGAUUUCAGCAUAUCAAAGGAGCCUCAGAUUAUCCCUUUUAAAGCAGAAGAUUGAAUAUCACAAAAUAGCUCAAAAUCGGAGACUCACGAGUCACCCACUCAAAGUAAACAGCAGCCGACCUUGAUUUAAGAAUAUAAAGGGAGGCUUAGGUUCCCUUUUUCAAGCAGAAGAUUGAAAAUCACAAAAGAGCUCAAAAUUAGAAGAUCAUGAGUCGCCCACCUUGAUUUAAGCAAUAAAAUGAGUCUCAGAUUAGCCCUUUUCAAGCAGAGGAUUGAAUAUCAGAAAAGGGCUCAAAAUCAGAAGCUCAUGAGUCUCUUUCAAGCAGAAGAUUGAAUAUCACAAAAGAGCUCAAAAUCAGACGCUCAUGAGUCUUUUUCACGCAGAAGAUUGAAUAUCACAAAAGAGCUCAAAAUCAGANNNNNNNNNNNNNNNNNNNNNNNNNNNNNNNNNNNNNNNNNNNNNNNNNNNNNNNNNNNNNNNNNNNNNNNNNNNNNNNNNNNNNNNNNNNNNNNNNNNNNNNNNNNNNNNNNNNNNNNNNNNNNNNNNNNNNNNNNNNNNNNNNNNNNNNNNNNNNNNNNNNNNNNNUUAGAAGCUCACGAGUCACACACCCACAGUUUGCCAGACAGCCACUCACACACACAAGAAAGAAAGCAAAUAUACUGGUAUAAGGGGUGUUGCCAGCAUGAGAAAGAAGAAUCAAAUUAUGCAAUGCUGUGUUCACAUAGCAACAACAUUCACCGAAUUUAAAACUAAAGCCGACAUUGAUUUAAGCAUAUAAAAGGAGCCUCNN